rnacentral:rRNA from 1 species
AUUGAACGCUGGCGGCAGGCCUAACACAUGCAAGUCGAACGAGUGGCGGACGGGUGUAUUAUGUGUGGGAAUUCCCCCGAUGGAGGGGGAACACUUCUGGAAACGGUCGCACAUACCGCAUACUAUCGGAUGAGCCCCGAGGGGAUUGGCUUGUAGGUGGUGUAAGGGCUCACCUAGGCGACGCUCCCUAGCUGGUCUGAGAGGAGGACCAGCCACACUGGAACUGAUACACGGUACAGACGGCUACGUGAGGCAGAGGUGGGGAAUAUUGCACAAGGGGCGCAAGCCUGAUGCAGCCAUGCCGCGUGUAUGAAGAGGGCCUUCGGGUUGUAAAGUACUUUCAGCGAGGAGGCGUUACUCGCAGAAGAAGCACCGGCUAACUCCGUGCCAGCAGCCGCGGUAAUAC